CCUUCUCACAAUCUCUGUUUCCUGAGCUGUAGUGAGGCUUUUUGACAUCUCGAAGGAGCUCUCCAUAUCUUGCCUCCUGUCCCUUCCUGGUGUCCCACUGUCAUCAUGCUGCUCCUGCUUAUGGCUCUGGACCAAGCACACAAAGUGGAUUGCUUCUGCUUAAAAGUAAACUAGAAUAUGCAAUCCAGGAACACCUAUGAAUGUCCAUUAAGCAGCUGGAGAACCCUGAAGAGCUGGAGAUCCCUUGGUCCGCUCCAAAGCUUAUCCAAAGUGGUGUAUAUUAUGGACGCUGGGUUCUCAGUGUUCACUAUUGAGCUGUGCAGGUGUUUUCUCAUCUCGUGUCAUGGUGCAGGAACAAGGAGAUGAAGCUUCAGCUAACAGGAGACAUCAGGCUCACAAUCAGCUACAAAGACCUCCAAUGAAUGGAGUACAUUGCUGAUCAGAACUACUUUCCAAGUCUGGUUCCUUCCUAUGAAAGUUAACUACCUUAUUCCAUGUGUGUAUUCUAUCUGCCAGUCUGAGUCUUAACCACUUGAGGACUGAUUCAAGGAUUGUAUGAUUCAGAAACAGUAAAUGGUUAGAAAAGCUUAUUAUUUGGUAUUAAAAGAUUAUUUGGUAUUAAAACAUCCUUUUCCUUUCCCUGAGCAAAACGAGGAGCUUGGGGAGACUGUGAGAUGCUGAGCUUCUCAGUGAAGAAUCCAUGUGUGCGAAGGCUGGAGCAGAAGCCAGUGGGUUGUUCUGCAGUUUGUUCCAUUGGCUUGGCAGUCUCAGGCUGAGCACCACUGUGCCCCACUCAGCACUCUGUUCCACGAGGGUGACAGGUCUAUGACAGCAAACUGUGCACCAAGGCGUGUGAGGCCCCGCCAGCCUCCCUGCCAGCCCUAGCACCAUUUCACCAGAACUAGAAAGCAGAGAGAGGCAGGGUCAUACUGAUCUUCACUUGGCUGGCAUGAGUGAGAUAGGAAAAGGAGGGAUGAAAUCCCUCAUCUCAUCCUCUGGAGGAAGAGCCAGGUCCUCCGUUCCACUUCUGUGCUAAAUCUGGAGCAGAGGAGUCACAACUGGGAAGUACGUGGAGAAACUGAGAGCUGAUGAUAGGCAGAUAGGAAAGAGCAGGCAUGUGAACGGCCUGAUAAAAUAUAAAUGUAUGGGAUGGUUAAGUAGGAUAUCAUUACAGCUGUGAAUUUUGACAACUGCUAGUACCUGUGAAUUUCACUGGUCAGCAUUUACUAUUUCACUGACACCCUGCUUGCUAAGCCAUCAUUUCCAGGAUUUGUUCAGCCAUUCCAAAUCUGUGAGCAGAUUCAGACAGCUCUAUUUCUUAAAUGAACAGGUAAACCUGUAGUUCUCUCUUUAAUACCAAAUGUAGGUGGUGUUGCCCACUGAGACUGAGCACAGUCUGUCAACGUGCCAGUGAGAGUUGUCAUGUCUGUAGCAUCUUUUGGUUUCUUAAGCCUGGAAGGAAGUUCUGAACUACGAAAACAGGGAAAAUCAUGGGAUCUCAACAGCUAAAAUAAUUUUUCCUGGCUGUGAAAAUUCCAAAAAAGUUUUGGGCAAUU
rnacentral:lncRNA from 7 species